UACGUAGGGUGCGACCGUUAAUCGGAAUUACUGGGCGUAAAGUGUGCGCAGGCGGCUUCGCAAGUCGAGUGUGAAAUCCCCGAGCUUAACUUGGGAAUUGCGCUCGAAACUACGGAGCUGGAGUGUGGCAGAGGAAGGUGGAAUUCCACGUGUAGCGGUGAAAUGCGUAGAGAUGUGGAGGAACACCGAUGGCGAAGGCAGCCUUCUGGGCCAACACUGACGCUCAUGCACGAAAGCGUGGGGAGCAAACAGG
rnacentral:rRNA from 1 species